UCCUACGGGAGGCAGCAGUAGGGAAUUUUCGUCAAUGGGCGCAAGCCUGAACGAGCAAUGCCGCGUGAACGAGGAAGGUCUUCGGAUCGUAAAGUUCUGUUGAAGGGGAAAAAGAGCGGAGAGAGGAAAUGGUCUCCGAUUGAUAUUACCCUUCGAGGAAGUCACGGCUAACUACGUGCCAGCAGCCGCGGUAAUACGUAGGGGGCGAGCGGUAUCCGGAAUGAUUGGGCGUAAAGGGUGCGUAGGCGGCCUGCUAAGUCUGGAGUGAAAGGGAACGGCUCAACCGGUACAGG
rnacentral:rRNA from 1 species